UGAAGUAAGUAAGGGCGUACGGUGAAUGCCUUGGUGCCAACAGGCGAAGAAGGACGCGGCAAGCUGCGAAAAUCCUCGGGAAGCUGCAAGCAAGCGAUGAUCCGGGGGUAUCCGAAUGGGGUAACCUGAUCGAGGCAAUACUCGAUCGUUCAUACCUGAAUACAUAGGGUAUGAAACGCGAAACCCGCUGAAGUGAAACAUCUCAGUAAGCGGAGGAAAAGAAAGAGAAAUCGAUUCCGUAAGUAGUGGCGAGCGAAAGCGGAUGGAGCCCAAACCGAAGGUACUCCUUCGGGGUUGUAGGACCACGACAUAUUCGACCAUACUGGAUAGUAGAACAGCCUGGAAAGGCUGGCCGUAGAAGGUGAAAGCCCUGUAGACGAAAUCCAGCGUGGGAAUUAGUGGAAUCCUGAGUAAUACAUCACACGUGGAACGAUGUAUGAAUCAGCGCGGACCACCGCGCAAGGCUAAAUACUAGUUGGCGACCGAUAGUGAACCAGUACCGUGAGGGAAAGGUGAAAAGAACCGCUGUGAGCGGAGUGAAAUAGAACCUGAAACCGUAUGUCUACAAAGUGUCAGAGCAGAGCAAUCUGCGAUGGCGUGCCUUUUGUUUAAUGAGUCUGCGAGUCAGUGUUUGUGGCAAGACUAAGGGCUUCCGGCCCGGAGUCGCAGCGAAAGCAAGUCCGAAUAGGGCGAAUUAAGUCGCAGGUACUGGACCCGAAGCGGAGGUGACCUACCCUUGGCCAGGUUGAAGCAUGGGUAAAACCAUGUGGAGGACCGAACAGGUGAACGUUGAAAAGUUCUCUGAUGAGCUGAGGGUAGGAGUGAAAGGCUAAUCAAACCCCGUGAUAGCUGGUUCUCUUCGAAAUGCAUUUAGGUGCAGCGUCACGUGCUGAUGCGCGGGGGUAGAGCACUGACAAGGCUAGGGGGCACACCCGCUUACCAAACCUUAUCAAACUCCGAAUACCGUGCAAUGGAACGUGGCAGUGAGACAGUGGGGGAUAAGCUUCAUUGUCGAGAGGGAAACAACCCAGACCAGCAGCUAAGGUGCCUAAAUAACGCUCAGUGGAAAGGAUGUGGGAUUACACAGACAGUGAGGAUGUUGGCUUAGAAGCAGCCACCAUUUAAAAAAUGCGUAAUAGCUUACUCAUCGAGUGAUCCUGCGCCGAAAAUGAUUGGCGAUUAAGCGUUAUACCGAAGCUCUGGACUUUACCUUACGGUAGAGUGGUAGAAGAGCGUUGCAUGCGCGUUGAAGGGUGAUGGCGACUGACCCUGGAGCACAUGCAAGUGAGUAUGCAGACAUGAGUAACGUAAAGCCGGGUGAAAUCCCCGGCCGCCGUAAACCCGAGGUUUCCAGGGCAACGUGUUUCGUCCCUGGGUUAGCCGGGACCUAAGCCGAGGCCGAGAGGCGUAGGCGAUGGAUAUCAGGUUAAUAAUCCUGAGCUCGCGACCCUUAAACUGGGGGGACGCAUGAGAAAAGAUGACUAGGUUAUUGAAUUCCGAGUUGAGUCCACGGACUCAGCGCAUCAUUGGAUCGAGUGCCAAGAAAAGCCCCAGCGUAUGCUAAGCGACCCGUACCGCAAACCGACACAGGUGGGUGGGUAGAAUAUACCAAGGCGUAAGAGUGAAACCUGGUUAAGGAACUCGGCAAAUUAGCCCCGUAACUUCGGAAGAAGGGGUGCCUGCAGCGAUGCAGGCCGCAGAGAAAUGGCCCAACCGACUGUUUAUCAAAAACACAGCACUCUGCAAAGACGCAAGUCGAAGUAUAGGGUGUGACACGUGACCAAUGCCGAAAGAUUAAGGCAAGGGGUUAGCCGCAAGGCGAAGCUCUGAACCCAAGUCCCGGUGAAUGUCGGCCGUAACUAUAACGGUCCUAAGGUAGCGAAAUUCCUUGUCG
rnacentral:rRNA from 1 species